rnacentral:rRNA from 1 species
AACGCGUGGGAACAUACCCUUUCCUGCGGAAUAGCUCCGGGAAACUGGAAUUAAUACCGCAUACGCCCUACGGGGGAAAGAUUUAUCGGGGAAGGAUUGGCCCGCGUUGGAUUAGCUAGUUGGUGGGGUAAAGGCCUACCAAGGCGACGAUCCAUAGCUGGUCUGAGAGGAUGAUCAGCCACAUUGGGACUGAGACACGGCCCAAACUCCUACGGGAGGCAGCAGUGGGGAAUAUUGGACAAUGGGCGCAAGCCUGAUCCAGCCAUGCCGCGUGAGUGAUGAAGGCCUUAGGGUUGUAAAGCUCUUUCACCGGAGAAGAUAAUGACGGUAUCCGGAGAAGAAGCCCCGGCUAACUUCGUGCCAGCAGCCGCGGUAAUACGAAGGGGGCUAGCGUUGUUCGGAAUUACUGGGCGUAAAGCGCACGUAGGCGGAUAUUUAAGUCAGGGGUGAAAUCCCAGAGCUCAACUCUGGAACUGCCUUUGAUACUGGGUAUCUUGAGUAUGGAAGAGGUAAGUGGAAUUCCGAGUGCAGAGGUGAAAUUCGUAGAUAUUCGGAGG